rnacentral:tRNA from 1 species
GGCACUAUAGCCAAGUGGUUAAGGCGAUAGAUUAGAAAUUUAUUACUCUCUGAGUGCGCAGGUUCAAAUCCUGCUGGUGUCG